rnacentral:rRNA from 1 species
AUUGAACGCUGGCGGCAGGCCUAACACAUGCCAGUCGAGCGAGCGGCGGACGGGUGAGUAAUGUAUGGGGACUGCCCGAUAGAGGGGGAUAACUACUGGAAACGGUGGCUAAUACCGCAUACUAUCGGAUAACCCAUAUGGGAUUAGCUAGUUGGUGGGGUAAAGGCUCACCUAGGCGACGAUCUCUAGCUGGUCUGAGAGGAUGAUCAGCAACACUGGGACUUGGACACGUCCCAUACUCCUACGGAGGCAGCAGUGGGGAAUAUUUCACAAUGGGCGCAAGCCUGAUGCAGCCAGACCGCGUGUAUGAAGAAGGCCUUAGGGUUGUAAAGUACUUUCAGCGGGGAGGCGUUACCCGCAGAAGAAGCACCGGCUAACUCCGUGCCAGCAGCCGCGGUAAUUC